rnacentral:lncRNA from 1 species
AAGGGCAUAAGAUGCCUUGGAAAAGGGGGUCUGCUCUAUCUUCUGCCUUGAGCCCUAAGUUUUAAUUUGAGCUUUCAUUUUUUUAUUUAGUUAGCAUUUCAAUUCUGAGGGUAUUCAGAGAAAAAACAUCAAAAUAUGGAGAUCUGAAACAGUUUCAGAGUCUCAUUACUAGUUUUGGACUUCAGCUGUGAGGGAUAGGGGUAUGCUAGACUGAUCUGUGGGAAUUGGCUUAUAUUUCUAAUUUUCGAAGUAAUCUGUCUGUGUUUCUGUGGUAUAACAUUGUUGGGUUUGUUGUUGUUGCUGUUCAAAGUACCUGACUCCUCACCUUUUCUCUAUUUUACAUUCCAAUUUCCAGGUACAUUUCCCUGAAUCUCACUGAUGUAUGUUCGUUGAAGUUGAAAUGAAAUGUUCCAAGGCCUGUUAUUCAACUGAAAGUAGCCUGUAUCUUUAAUGAUAGUAAUAGUGUAGUCUCCUGUUAUGUAAUUGGCAGGAUGUGUAUAAAUAAACUUGUUCAGUAGGGUAGAUUACAUGUUGAAUGAUGCGUAGUUGAGAACUGUUGAAUUGGACAUUUGAAUAAGCUAUGAGCAUGGGCCUGGGCUGAUC